rnacentral:rRNA from 1 species
AAUAUAUCCGAGCGUGCCCAGGCGUGAGGGAUAACGUAACAUAAGUUACACUCAUACCACAAACUAUCUACGGAUGAAAGCGAGGGAUCGAACGACCUCGAGCGAUUGGAGCGACCUAUAUCAAAUUAGGUAGUUGGUGGGGUGAAGGCUCACCAAACCAACUAUCUGUAGCUGGACUGAAAGGACAACCACCCUCACUGGGACUGACACACCGCACACACUCCUACGGGAGGCAGCAGUGAGUAAUUUUGGACAAUGAACGCCUGUUUGAUCCAUUCAUUCCGCGUGAAGGACGAACGCCUUCUGGUUGCAAACUGCUUUUGUACCGAACGAAAAACCUCUUACUAAUACUACGAGUCCAUGACCGGACCGAAAGAAUAACCACCAGCUAACUACCUGCCACCACCCGCAUAAAUACGUAGGGUGCGAGCGUUAAUCUUAAUUACUGGGCAUAAAGCGUGCGCAGGCAUUUAUAUAAGACAUAUGUGAAAUCCCCUGGCUCAACCUGCUAACUGCAUUAGUGACUGUAUAGCUUGAGUGCGACAGAGAUGGAUGGAAUUCCGCGUGU